rnacentral:rRNA from 1 species
CUUUCUCCGCCGGCGACCGGCGCACGGGUGAGUAACACGUAUGCAACCUGCCCCUGUCAGGGGGACAACCCGCCGAAAGGCGGGCUAAACCCGCGUACAUGGCCACCGGGGCAUCCCGGAGGCAGGAAAGGCUUCGGCCGGACAGGGAUGGGCAUGCGGCGCAUUAGGCAGUAGGCGGGGUAACGGCCCACCUAACCGACGAUGCGUAGGGGUUCUGAGGGGAAGGUCCCCCACACUGGUACUGAGACACGGACCAGACUCCUACGGAAGGCAGCAG